AACGAACGCUGGCGGCGCGCCUAACACAUGCAAGUCGAACGAGAAUCCGGGGGCAACCCGGUAGUAAAGUGGCAAACGGGUGAGGAAUACAUGGGUAACCUACCCUUGAGAAGGGAAUAACCCGCCGAAAGGUGAGCUAAUACCCUAUACGCUAUCUUUUUUUCGAAAAGGAUAGGAAAGCCGGGUCGAGGACCUGGUACUCAAGGAGGGGCUCAUGUCCUAUCAGCUUGUUGGUGGGGUAACGGCCUACCAAGGCUACGACGGGUAGCUGGUCUGAGAGGAUGAUCAGCCACACUGGGACUGAGACACGGUCCAGACUCCUACGGGAGGCAGCAGUGGGGAAUCUUGCGCAAUGGGCGAAAGCCUGACGCAGCGACGCCGCGUGGGUGAUGAAGGCCUCGGUUGUAAGACC
rnacentral:rRNA from 1 species